rnacentral:rRNA from 1 species
AAUGAACGUUGGCGGCGUGGAUUAGGCAUGCAAGUCGAGCGAGAAGGUUUAGAAAGAUACUUCGGUUGAUUUCUAAACUGGACAGCGGCGAAAGGGAGAGUAACAGGUAGAUACGUACCCAGAGGUUCGGGAUAGCUGCGGGAAACUGCAGGUAAUACCGAAUAAUGUCUCCGGACCAAAAAUUUAUUGCCUUUGGAUCGGUCUGCUUACUAUUAGCUUGUUGGUGGGGUAAAGGCCUACCAAGGCUAAGAUGGUUAGCGGGUGUGAGAGCAUGGCCCGUCUCACUGGGACUGAGACACUGCCCAGACACCUACGGGUGGCUGCAGUCGAGAAUCUUCCGCAAUGGACGAAAGUCUGACGGAGCGACGCCGCGUGCGGGAUGAAGGCCUUCGGGUUGUAAACCGCUGUCAGAGGGGAGCAAAUUUUGAGCGAUCCUCAGAGGAAGCACAGGCUAAGUUCGUGCCAGCCGCCGCCGUAACAC